GCCUAGCUCAGUCUGGGCUGACCGUUGAGGAGGAAGGCUGCACCUUGCAGGAUGCAGCCUGGGAGCAGCUGGAACCCCUGACUGCAGUAGCCAGAGGCGCUGAGACCCAGACAAACACCCAGGUACCUGUGGAUGCCCAAAGGGAAUUGGAGUCACCGGGAACCACGUGCACCGAGAAGCCUGGAGACCAUGACAACACCUUGACUACUGCUCCAAGAGACCUGAUAAUUUAUGGGGAAGGGGGGCAUGGGCAUAUGCAUCUAUAUAAUCUUCAUCCUUCAUCUAUUUCACAAGUAUGUCGCAAGGCUUAACUAACUAAGCCAUACAAAGUGCUUUCAGAUUUUCAGAUGAAAGGUGCUAUAGAAGCACAAAAUAUUGUUAAUAACACCACCAGAUUCUGAGUAGUACAGCAACAAAGUGAAACUACAACACUGUUAUUUCCCCCAGUUAAGUAUGGCCCUUUGAGUGGUCAGCAGUCUUAAUCGUAACAAUUCACAGCAAUGUAAUAUGAAGUCUGUCUUUUUUCAAAGUCACUUUAAUUUUGUUAAUACCACAUAGCUCCAAAGAUAAGGUCAAGCUCCCACACCAUAAGUUGUGCCCAGAUAAGGCUAAUCUCAAACAACAGCUAGUUUAUAGCUGUGCAUAGCUGUUUUGCAAUAUUUGUUCUGUGUUUUAGGCAGUUUCUCUAUAGACUGCUUGGACAUGUAGCAUAGUAAAAAAUGACCAACGGGAUUUGGGACCCAUGUUGUGCAUGUUGGAUUGACAACCCUUUUUCUCCAGGGAUUAGGUGCAGCAUGGGGAGUAGCCGUAUAAACUUCCUCAUAUGACUCCACUCGUAUGCCUCUACCCUGACCUGGGGUGACCACCUCUAGGAGUGACAGGUGGCAUUGAUCUCCAAGUCCAUUUUCUCUACGGCCUCUCUGUUGCCAAGGUCCCUUCUUGAGACCUGAAGAAGAGCUCUGUGAAGCUUGAUAGCUUAUCUCUUCUACCAACAGAUGUUGCUCCAACAAAAAAGAUAUUACCUCACCCACUUUGUCUCUCUCAUAUCCUUCAACAGUGCUACAAACAAUCUUUAAUGUACUUAUCCUCCCAACACCCCAGUGAAGGAGCUACCAUUUUACAGGAACGAAAGGGUUAACGGACAGAAGCAGCGCAGUGGACCCCAGCAAUGAAAAAGUUAAUAGACGGUGUCAGUCUUGUGCAGCACCAAAAGGCUUACUGCACAAUGGGGGCACAGCGGAUGUGGCCAGGAACCAGCAGUGAAAGAUGUCAGAGUACAGUAUUUAAUACAGACAAACAGUGUAAAGCUGACUCAGAGGCUUUUAUUUAUGCUCAAAUAAAUUUGUUAGUCUCUAAGGUUCCACAAGUACUCCUGUUCUUUUUGCGGAUACAGACUAACACAGCUGCUACUCUGAAAAAAGUGCCUUAUCAGUCAUCCAUUCUUUUUUUAAAUCAAGGAAACAGUAACUUCCCGACUUCUUCUUCUAAGGUUACAUUUUUGAUUCAGAGCUUUCUGAACCUGUGCAUUAAGCCACCAUUCUCUAAAAUCUAGAGCUGGGCAAAUAAUGAAUUUUUCAGUGCUCUGGCAAUUCCAAAUAAUAAUAAUUUAAAAAAAGACCAUACAUUAUCAUUAUGAAUAGCUAUGAAUUGCCACUGUGAAUUGUUAUUGGACCAGGGAAUGAGUGGGAAUGACUCUGCAGUUCUGAGGGCAGUGGUUAUCAACCCGGGGUACAUGUACCCCUGGGGGUACACAGUGGUCUUCCACGGGGUAUGUCAACCCAUCUAGAUAUUUGCUUAGUUUUACAACAGGCUACAUGAAAAGCUCUUGUGAAGUCAGUGCAAACUAAAAUUUCAUACAAUGACUUAUUUAUACUGCUCUAUAGACUAUAUCAGUGUUUCUUGGGGGUGGGUGUCACAAUUUAUUUUAUAAUUAUACAGUAAAAAUGAGAAAGGAAGCAAUUUGUCAGUGCUAAUGUGCUGUGCCACUUUUGUAUUUUUAUGUCUGACUUUGUAAGCAAGUACUUUUUAAGUGAGGUGAAACUGGGGGUACACAAGACAAAUCAGCCUCCUGAAAGGAGUACAGUAGUCUGGCAAGGCGGAGAACCCCUGGGUUAGGGCACUAACCUGAGAUGUGGGAGAUCCCAAAUUCAAUCCCUGCUCCAAUGACUAUUUAAUUUAUUUAUAAAAGGUGGAUCAAAUUCAAGAGCAGAGACUGAAACUCCCACCAGACUAUCUCAGUGGCGAGGGGUGCUCUCCUGCAAUGUGGGAGAUCCACAUUUAAAUCCCUUCUCCCUAUCAGGCAUGGGGGGAACUGAACCUGGGUCUCCCAGAUGCGUGCUCUAACCACUAGGCUAAAAGUUAUAAUGAAGGCAGCUUCUCCUCCUAUUGUUUUGUGACUCCACCCCCAAAAACUGAAAUACAAUCACAGAAAUGUGGAACUGGAAUGGACUUCAGGAGGUCAUCUAGUCCAUCCCCCCCACGAUGAGGAAGGAUUAAGUAUACUUAGACCAUCCGGGGUGGGUGUUUGUGUGGCUUUAAAUUCCAGUCAUUGGUUCUUGUUGUGCUGUUCUCUGUUAGAUUAAACAGUCCUUUAAUACCCACCUGGAAAACACUUACAUAAUCAAAAAAAGAAAAGCAGUACUUGUGGCACCUUAGAGACUAACAAAUUUAUUAGAGCAUAAGCUUUUGUGAGCUACAGCUCACUUCAUCGGAUGCAUUUGGUGGAAAACCUCCACCCAUUUGUCUCACCUUCCCAACCCAAAAAUCAAUCUCCGAACCACACAAUAAAGCUCACUGGAGCCGCAAUCACUUAACAUCGGUUAGUAACUUUGAACCCAAAACACUUCAGCAGCUAUACAUACACACACACCACUACUGAAAUGCAGACACAGCUGGGGUGAAAGACACCAGCCAACUACCACACAGCAUCCUCAUGUUCAAUAACCAUUCAGAGCUGGGGCAACAUCCAGUUUUAAGAUCUCACCUAACAGUCACCCCUGAACAGGGAACUGCAUAACAUUUAAUUCCAACCUCUGGAACAAGCUACAAAGGGAAAUGAUGGCAUCUCCUGCUCUUGAUGUCUUCAGAUCAAAACUGGAUGCACUAAAUUCCCAGUACUUUGAUCUAUCAGCAUAAUCCUGCUCAUUUUGAAAUCAAUGGCAAAACUCCUAUUGAUUUCACAGGGAGUAGAAUUGGGCUGAUUGCAAAAAUAUGAAUAUUUAUUUACAGGUGUAACUCUCGGGAAUGUCCUUAAUAGUUGUUAUUUAAUUUACUGGGUGCCCGUAGCAGCUAGACAUUUAUAACAAUUUGUUUAAAAUAUAUUAUGUAAAACUCUGGGACGCUUCCACUGGGGAGCAUUAAAGACCCUCUGAUGUCUUCACAAAUGGCGGGAAGUGGGCUGUCAUUUUCCCAGGAAUUAAAAGACACACAGACAUACACACACACACACACACACACACAAAGCCAUUACAACUUACAUCAAGUAAAUGUAUCUUACAACAGACCUUGGGGAUCACUAGAGACAGGCAUGGGAAGAACAUCAAAGGGAGCAAAUUCCACAGACAGGGUGCUUGGGUGACAAUGCCCUACCACCACCACCCCUGAACAGUUCAGCCCUGAGCGGUGACAACAAGAAUCUCCCAGGCAUUAAGCACGAGGUUGGGGUGCUCAGAAAUACUUCAGGCAGACUGGGCCAGAGGCAUCAAUCUCGUCCAUCACUGGGCCCUAGAUCAUACAAACUCCGCUCCUGGCCACUGUGAACCUGUUGCUGUGGCUCAGUCUGGCACACUAGCUCUGGGGACCCCCAGGUGGAUGAUGUCAUUAGCAGCCGGCUGUUAGGAGAGGGGUGUUGGGAUCGGUUUCUGCCGCGGUAAU